GACGAACGCUGGCGGCGUGCUUAACACAUGCAAGUCGAACGAAAAGAGGGAAAGAGCUUGCUCUUUCCGGAAUUGAGUGGCAAACGGGUGAGUAACACGUAAACAACCUGCCUUCAGGAUGGGGACAACAGACGGAAACGACUGCUAAUACCGAAUAAGUUCCAAGGGCCGCAUGGCCCAUGGAAGAAAAGGUGGCCUCUACCUGUAAGCUAUCGCCUGAAGAGGGGUUUGCGUCUGAUUAGCUGGUUGGAGGGGUAACGGCCCACCAAGGCGACGAUCAGUAGCCGGUCUGAGAGGAUGAACGGCCACACUGGAACUGAGGCACGGUCCAGACUCCUACGGGAGGCAGCAGUGGGGAAUCUUCCGCAAUGGGCGAAAGCCUGACGGAGCAACGCCGCGUGAGUGAUGACGGCCUUCGGGUUGUAAAACUCUGUGAUCCGGGACGAAAAGGCAGAGUGCGAAGAACAAACUGCAUUGACGGUACCGGAAAAGCAAGCCACGGCUAACUACGUG
rnacentral:rRNA from 1 species